CCCAGAAGUAUUGUUCUCAUAAAGAGAACAGGAGCAAAGAAAGAGCUGGGAACCCAAGAGACGUGUUCAUCAUCUUGAUCUGAAAUAUGUUUCCUCUAAAGGGCUGAGACACAGAGAAACAAGGUGGUAAGCAGUGCACAGUGCCCAUGCCUCUGACACAACCCUUGGACAUGACAGAAGAUGCAAAAACAAAGACCAGGCCAUCCUGAGCCAACCAAGAAGGAAAUAACAAAGAGGUGGCCCUGCUGCUGAGAUGUGAAAGGAAAACUGUCAACAGUGAUUUGCAACCUGUACCCCACUGCCUGCCACGCCCCAGGUUUUCCUGGGACCCCGCUCUCCUGUAGCUCUAGGAAACAGGGAAGGAGGCACCAGCAAUCACUUCCUGUUUGUCCCUCCUGGUCACCAACCUGGGAAGACGGGAGGUGAAACUGCAGAUUGGCCAUUGAGUGCCGGCCUUCGGGAACGACCCGGAGCCCAGCAACACUCCAGGCUGUGGAAGUCAUCUGUGCCUGCAUGGCACAGCGCCCACCUCUCUGGAAUGUCGCCAGUGCUUGUGAGUCGACAGCCAUCCGCCCAUUCCGUGGGGCACUGGGGGGACGGAAACAAAGCCCAGAAGAGGACACAGGGGGACAGGUAGAGUGCAAAGGGCACUUUCCAACACUCUGAGCCAGGUUCUAUUAUGAGAACCCAGUGGCUCUGAGUUGUUCACACUGCUUCUGCAAACCCCUAAUUUCUCUGGAGGUAUCUCUGCUACCCUUAGUUCGGUAGUUCACAAACUCGGACUGGGAAAUGCAGAACGCAGCACUCAGUUCCCAACACUCUGAGGUCAUCCCGCCAACUUCUGGGAGGAGGACAGCUCUGCUCAGCUGCUCCUGGACAGCCAAGCGGCAGCCUAGCAGUGGUCCUCUAUUCCUUCCUGAUCUUUUAAUUUGCUAGUUUAGUUCAUGUUUACCCAGCGAAUGCCACACAGGGGUAUCUUGGGGACUGCAGAGCCUUGGAGUGUUCAGGCUCUAGAGAAAACCCCUGCGCACUUCUGGGAAACCCCAAUUUGCCUUGAGCAAAUCCCACUAAGUGCUCUAGAUGCCGGGUCUGCCGUGCAGCAGAUCCCACCAGCAUUGGGCUGGGAAGAGUCCAUUAUACCACCAGGAUCUCUGCACCGUGUGACAAGCAUUGUGCUGAUGCCCAAGGCAGCUGGGCAGGGGGAGGCGAUGAGGGAGAAGGAGCGGAGUGGGAGGAGCGGUGCAAAUACACAAUUCGUCCUCCUUAACAGCCACAUCAUUAGCACAGCCACAAAGCAGAAGGCAGGAGUCCUUCACCGUCCAGGGUCAAGGCAGGGGACACCGUUCCUCAUUCUCCCACCCACCCUUCCCCUCCAGUGCAGCCCAG